AGCCGACCUGAGAGGGUGAUCGGCCACACUGGGACUGAGACACGGCCCAGACUCCUACGGGAGGCAGCAGUGGGGAAUCUUCCGCAAUGGACGAAAGUCUGACGGAGCAACGCCGCGUGAGUGAUGAAGGUUUUCGGAUCGUAAAACUCUGUUGUUAGGGAAGAACAAGUACCGUUCGAAUAGGGCGGUACCUUGACGGUACCUAACCAGAAAGCCACGGCUAACUACCUGCCGGCAGCCGCGGUAAUACGUAUGUGGCAAGCGUUGUCCGGAAUUAUUGGGCGUAAAGCGCGCGCAGGCGGUUUCUUAAGUCUGAUGUGAAAGCCCCCGGCUCAACCGGGGAGGGUCAUUGGAAACUGGAGAACUUGAUUGCAGAAGAGGAGAGUGGAAUUCCACAUGUAGCGGUGAAAUGCGUAGAGAUGUGGAGGAACACCAGUGGCGAAUGCGACUCUCUGGUCUGUAACUGACGCUGAAGCGCGAAAGCGUGCGGAGCGAACACGAUUAGAUACCCUGGUAGUCCACGCCG
rnacentral:rRNA from 1 species